GCAGCCGCGGUAAUACGGAGGAUCCAAGCGUUAUCCGGAUUUAUUGGGUUUAAAGGGUGCGUAGGCGGACUAGUAAGUUAGAGGUGAAAGCUCGGGGCUCAACUCCGGAACUGCCUCUGAUACUGCUAAUCUAGAGAGUAGAUGCGGUAGGCGGAAUGUAUGGUGUAGCGGUGAAAUGCUUAGAGAUCAUACAGAACACCGAUUGCGAAGGCAGCUUACCAAACUAUGUCUGACGUUGAGGCACGAAAGCGUGGGGAGCAAACAGGAUUAGAUACCCC
rnacentral:rRNA from 1 species